GUCGUAACAAGGUCUCCGUUGGUGAACCAGCGGAGGGAUCAUUACCGAGUUUUCAACUCCCUAACCCUUAUGUGAACCUACCUAUUGUUGCUUCGGCGGACUCGCCCCAGCCGGACGCGGACUGGACCAGCGGCCGCCGGGGACCCUCAAACUCUUGUAUUAUCAGCAUCUUCUGAAUACGCCGCAAGGCAAAACAAAUAAAUCAAAACUUUCAACAACGGAUCUCUUGGCUCUGGCAUCGAUGAAGAACGCAGCGAAACGCGAUAAGUAAUGUGAAUUGCAGAAUCCAGUGAAUCAUCGAAUCUUUGAACGCACAUUGCGCCCGCCAGCAUUCUGGCGGGCAUGCCUGUUCGAGCGUCAUUUCAACCCUCGACCUCCCUUUGGGGAAGUCGGCGUUGGGGACCGGCAGCACACCGCCGGCCCUGAAAUGGAGUGGCGGCCCGUCCGCGGCGACCUCUGCGUAGUAAUCCAACUCGCACCGGAACCCCGACGUGGCCACGCCGUAAAACACCCAACUUCUGAACGUUGACCUCGAAUCAGGUAGGACUACCCGCUGAACUUAAGCAUAUCA
rnacentral:rRNA from 1 species